UACGUAGGUGGCGAGCGUUAUCCGGAUUUAUUGGGUUUAAAGGGUGCGUAGGCGGUUUAUUAAGUCGAUGGUGAAAGGUAGCAGCUUAACUGUUUUACAUGCUGUCGAUACUGAUAAACUUGAGUUGUUAGAAGGUAGCUAGAAUUUCUGGUGUAGCGGUGAAAUGCAUAGAUACCAGAAGGAAUACCGAUUGCGAAGGCAGGUUACUGCAUACAAACUGACGCUGAGGCACGAAAGUAUGGGGAUCAAACAGG
rnacentral:rRNA from 1 species